rnacentral:lncRNA from 1 species
CUAGCUUAUACCUGUCUAUGUGAAUGGUGUCUUGUGUGAUCUGGAUGUCCAAGAUGAAGAGAAAAUUGCCCUGAAGUUAAUGCUAGGGAUUUCUUUUCUCUUCUUUGAGCAUCAGACUGCCUGAGGAAUGGCUGAGAUCCUCUGAUCCUUUACCAGAUAGCACAAUUUUCGGGAGCUCUCGUAUGAUGAUGACCAGAGUCCUGAUAACUCUUGGUCCAUACCCAGAGAACUCUCAAGAGCGAUGGCAGAACUGCAGCAAAGGGACGUACAGGCCCCAAAGUUGUCCUUGUGCAUCACCUACUUACUCCAGCCCUAUACCAGAUACUUCAUGAUCUGUGGACUACUUCCCCAUGGCGAAUCUGGGAGUAUAUCUUUUUCUUCUUCUUGAUGGAGUGAUCUGCAGGGAAGCUGAAACUUGCAUUUGCUUCAUCUCCUAGUCUGGCUGUGUGUUUCACUCAGUGGUGCGUGUAUAGCUGUUUAUACUGCUAUAGCAUACUAUGUAAUCCACAGAAUAUUUUUGCUGAUACCCAGCUAACUCUUCCUUAUUCUCAUCAUUUUCACUUCAAUUAAACAUCAGAGCAAAAGGUAUGUGGCAGGAGCAUGUUUAUAAACUUGUAUCGUAUCAAUGCACUUUUCAUACGCUUCUAUACGCACACACUUUAAUAUACCAUAGUAAACCAC